rnacentral:rRNA from 1 species
ACAUGCCUACAACAUAGUUUUAAUGCACCAGAUCCCAUCAGAACUCUGCAGUUAAGCGCACUUAGGAUAGAGUAAUACUGGGAUGCGUGACCGCCUAGGAAUUCCUAGUGUUUUACAUGCC